UGAGGAAUAUUGGUCAAUGGGGGCAACCCUGAACCAGCCAAGUCGCGUGAAGGAUGAAGGUCUUAUGGAUUGUGAACUUCUUUUAUACAGGAAUAAAUUGGGGGACGUGUCCCCUUUUGCAUGUACUGUAUGAAUAAGGAUCGGCUAACUCCGUGCCAGCAGCCGCGGUAAUACGGAGGAUCCGAGCGUUAUCCGGAUUUAUUGGGUUUAAAGGGUGCGCAGGCGGGAUGUUAAGUCGGCGGUGAAAUUUUGCAGCUCAACUGUAAAAGUGCCUUCGAUACUGGCUUCCUUGAGUGUAGAUGAANUAGGCGGAAUUUGUGGUGUAGCGGUGAAAUGCUUAGAUAUCACGAGGAACUCCGAUUGCGCAGGCAGCUUACUAAACUACAACUGACGCUCAUGCACGAAGGCGUGGGGAUCAAACA
rnacentral:rRNA from 1 species